UGGGGAAUUUUGCGCAAUGCUCGUAAGAGUGACGCAGCGACGCCGCGUGAAUGACGAAGGCCUUCGGGUCGUAAAGUUCUUUCGACAGGGAAGAAAAUGCCUAUAAGUAACUGUGUAUGUAUUGACGGUACCUGUAUAAGCAGCCCCGGCUAACUCCGUGCCAGCAGCCGCGGUAAUACGGAGGGGGCGAGCGUUGUUCGGAGUGACUGGGCGUAAAGAGCACGUAGGCGGUGUUGUAAGUCAUUAGUCAAAGACUAGAGCUCAACUUUAGUAAGGCUAGUGAUACUAUAAUACUAGAGUAUCAGAGAGGAUUGCAGAAUUCCUGGUGUAGCGGUGAAAUGCGUAGAUAUCAGGAGGAAUACCGUUAGCGAAGGCGGCAAUCUGGCUGGAAACUGACGCUGAGGUGCGAAAGCGUGGGUAGCAAACAGG
rnacentral:rRNA from 2 species